GUGUCAAAUGAUGGGAUCAUUUUAUCUACUUGGUUGUUGAUGAAAGUGCCUCUUCUAUGGUGGAUGCCCAUACCCUCACCAGAGGGCCAGCCAUUGACCACUGCCCAGGAAUCUCACCUAAGGCCACUUCUACAUAAAACUAUGAGCAGGGCAAGGAUUCAAUGUGGUGUUUACUCCAACUACAUCAUUCCCAUUUAUGCAUUUGGGAACUGAGGAAACGACAACUGGAUGCUUGAAUCAUCACACCUGCAAUGGUAGUUUCCUUCAUCAGGAUAUUUUUCUAGGUCAUCACCACUGAAAUCUUCAG